CCUACGGGUGGCAGCAGUGAGGAAUAUUGGUCAAUGGCCGAGAGGCUGAACCAGCCAAGUCGCGUGAGGGAAGACGGCCCUACGGGUUGUAAACCUCUUUUGUCGGGGAGCAAAGCGAGUCACGUGUGACUCAUUGAGAGUACCCGAAGAAAAAGCAUCGGCUAACUCCGUGCCAGCAGCCGCGGUAAUACGGAGGAUGCGAGCGUUAUCCGGAUUUAUUGGGUUUAAAGGGUGCGCAGGCGGAGGUGCAAGUCAGCGGUAAAAUCGCGGGGCUCAACCCCGUACCGCCGUUGAAACUGCAUGCCUUGAGUGCGCGAGAAGUAUGCGGAAUGCGUGGUGUAGCGGUGAAAUGCAUAGAUAUCACGCAGAACUCCGAUUGCGAAGGCAGCAUACCGGCGCGCAACUGACGCUCAUGCACGAAAGCGUGGGUAUCGAACAGGAUUAGAUACCCGGGUAGUC
rnacentral:rRNA from 1 species